AGAAGAAAGAAGAAGAAAGACGAAGAGCCUUCCUUACAGUCAAUUACAAGUCAGUUCAGACUGCCAUUUGAAUGCUAAUCCUUUCUUGAUUUGGAGUAAAUAACUGACCCUGUACUCCACACAGCAAUACAGGUUCCAAAUCUCCUUGGAUCCACUAGCACAAUGUACAAUGUUGCUGCUGUGACCUAUCCAUUUAUUUGCCACGCCUACGACUGACAUUUGGCACACAUCCAGAAUGUCUAUUUGACCUUGAAGCAUCCACCUUUUGGUAAUCUGCAGGUGAGAAUUGAGUGGCAGGACCAUUACUCAGAAACUCCAGAGCAUACAUAGUAGCCAUUUCCCAGUAUGUACUAUUUCACAAUGCUCUGAUUUGGUGGCGUAUUGAGGUAGUUCUAUUACAGUAGCAGC
rnacentral:lncRNA from 1 species